GAGGGGCUAUAAACUGCUGUAGGCUGAAUGGGUGGGGCUAUAAACUGCUGUAGGCUGAAUGGGUGGGGCUAUAAACUGCUGUAGGCUGAAUGGGUGGGGCUAUAAACUGCUGUAGGCUGAAUGGGUGGGGCUAUAAACUGCUGUAGGCUGAAUGGGUGGGA